GGAGCGGUGUCCGAGUGGUUGAAGGAGGCGGUCUUGAAAACCGUUGUGCCGCAAGGUACCGGGGGUUCGAAUCCCCCCUGCUCCG
rnacentral:tRNA from 1 species